GAAGUUAGCGGCGGACGGGUGAGUAACACGUGGGUAACCUGCCCAUAAGACUGGGAUAACUCCGGGAAACCGGGGCUAAUACCGGAUAACAUUUUGAACUGCAUGGUUCGAAAUUGAAAGGCGGCUUCGGCUGUCACUUAUGGAUGGACCCGCGUCGCAUUAGCUAGUUGGUGAGGUAACGGCUCACCAAGGCAACGAUGCGUAGCCGACCUGAGAGGGUGAUCGGCCACACUGGGACUGAGACACGGCCCAGACUCCUACGGGAGGCAGCAGUAGGGAAUCUUCCGCAAUGGACGAAAGUCUGACGGAGCAACGCCGCGUGAGUGAUGAAGGCUUUCGGGUCGUAAAACUCUGUUGUUAGGGAAGAACAAGUGCUAGUUGAAUAAGCUGGCACCUUGACGGUACCUAACCAGAAAGCCACGGCUAACUACGUGCCAGCAGCCGCGGUAAUACGUAGGUGGCAAGCGUUAUCCGGAAUUAUUGGGCGUAAAGCGCGCGCAGGUGGUUUCUUAAGUCUGAUGUGAAAGCCCACGGCUCAACCGUGGAGGGUCAUUGGAAACUGGGAGACUUGAGUGCAGAAGAGGAAAGUGGAAUUCCAUGUGUAGCGGUGAAAUGCGUAGAGAUAUGGAGGAACACCAGUGGCGAAGGCGACUUUCUGGUCUGUAACUGACACUGAGGCGCGAAAGCGUGGGGGAGCAAACAGGAUUAGAUACCCUGGUAGUCCACGCCGUAAACGAUGAG
rnacentral:rRNA from 1 species